CCGCGCAGCCGGCUCCCCCCGGACGCCAGGGCGUGUGCGGGCUCGCUGGCUCUUGCACUUGGGGGCUUUUCCUUUCCUCUCCCGUCUGUGUUCUGGUUCUGAAUUCAUCCAGGGUCCAGGAUGACAAUCCGACACCAGGGCCAGCAGUACAGGCCGAGGAUGGCAUUUCUCCAGAAGGCUGCCUCUUGGUCCUGAAGAAUCGGCAUUGCUUGGGCAGAAUGUUGGAGGGUGAAGAGCCUGUUACCAGGAGCAGAGGUGCGGGGACUGCAGUUCAGCUGGGCCCACUCCAGCUCUGAGCCAUGAAAGGAAAGGAAACUGAGGCUAGUAAGGGCCAAC